AUACACAUGCAUUGUCGAUCUUUUUUUUCUUUCUUUCUUAACCAGCGAUGCUAUGAUUGGACCAAAAGCUAGAGUGAAAAUUCAUUUGUUUAUUAUCCUGAUAGGAACCUGCGGAUCUCAUACCUAAUGAUCUGCGGAGCGGAUUUAUGCGAUUACAUUU
rfam:Glycine soja cultivar W05 scaffold53_44, whole genome shotgun sequence.